rnacentral:lncRNA from 1 species
GAUUCUAUGGAACCUUUUUGUAGGGAGAAGGGCAGGAUGUUUUUAACUGAAUGUGACCUCAGGGGAAUACUAGAGAAAAUAAUAAAAUUUCUGAAUGGGGCAGCGUGGAGAAAUCCUAAGAGAAAUAGCAUAAGAGCAUUUUGGAACACAUCCAGGAAAAGAUAACUUUCGACACACCUGUAGACGUUCGCCAGGUAAAGAGCCCCCAAUUUUGUGAGUGUCCCUGAAGCAUUGUGACAAUUCCAUUUUAUGUGUCUGCGUGCUCAUAUCAAGACUAAGGAGUGAUGGAAACUCUCCAGUUCAGAUCCAGUAGCUUUUAGGGAAGGUAAGUAAAAGCUAUUUAAAAAUAAACUUUUCCCCCAAAGAAAAAGAAUCUCCAACUUUUCAACAUCCAUCAAAAACCUGAGAAGUUAAGGAACUUCAUUUUAGAGGACCAGAAAAGAUGCUUGCUUUGGUUAUUGUUGGCAUCCUCAUGGUAAUUUGGGUUAUGUUCAUAUAGAUUUUUGAGGAGUGUUUACACCUGUUCAUCCUGAUUCAUGACUUCAUAUGUUUGAUAUUAGGGGCAUUAAUAUGUAAGACAUUCAGAAUUAACAUGUAUGAUUUUAAAAUGUGGUAGACAGGAUAAAGUACCCCUCCCCAAAAUAUCCAUGAAAUCUCUGAAAUC